ACGCUCGACACCUACUGGAGGCAGCAGUCGGGAAUAUUGCGCAAUGGAGGAAACUCUGACGCAGUGACGCCGCGUGCAGGAAGAAGGUUUUCGGAUUGUAAACUGCUUUAGACAGGGAAGAAGGAAAUGACAGUACCUGUAGAAUAAGCUCCGGCUAACUACGUGCCUGCAGCCGCGGUAAUCUGAGCGGGCUGGCAAGGC
rnacentral:rRNA from 1 species